rnacentral:rRNA from 1 species
AGUGAACGCUGGCGGCAGGCCUAACACAUGCAAGUCGAGCGGAUGAAGGGAGCUUGCUCCUGGAUUCAGCGGCGGACGGGUGAGUAAUGCCGAGGAAUCUGCCUGUUUAUGGGGUAUAACGUCCGGAAACGGGCGCUAAUACCGCAUACGUCCUGAGGGAGAAAGGGUGGGAUCUUCGGACCUCACGCUAUCAGAUGAGCCUAGGUCGGAUUAGCUAGUUGGUGGGGUAAAGGCCUACCAAGGCGACGAUCCGUAACUGGUCUGAGAGGAUGAUCAGUCACACUGGAACUGAGACACGGUCCAGACUCCUACGGGAGGCAGCAGUGGGGAAUAUUGGACAAUGGGCGAAAGCCUGAUCCAGCCAUGCCGCGUGUGUGAAGAAGGUCUUCGGAUUGUAAAGCACUUUAAGUUGGGAGGAAGGGCAGUAAGUUAAUACCUUGCUGUUUUGACGUUACCAACAGAAUAAGCACCGGCUAACUUCGUG